AUUGAACGCUGGCGGCAUGCCUUACACAUGCAAGUCGAACGGCAGCACGGGUGCUUGCACCUGGUGGCGAGUGGCGAACGGGUGAGUAAUACAUCGGAACAUGUCCUGUAGUGGGGGAUAGCCCGGCGAAAGCCGGAUUAAUACCGCAUACGAUCUACGGAUGGAAGCGGGGGACCUUCGGGCCUCGCGCUAUAGGGUUGGCCGAUGGCUGAUUAGCUCGUUGGUGGGGUAAAGGCCUACCAAGGCGACGAUCAGUAGCUGGUCUGAGAGGACGACCAGCCACACUGGGACUGAGACACGGCCCAGACUCCUACGGGAGGCAGCAGUGGGGAAUUUUGGACAAUGGGCGAAAGCCUGAUCCAGCAAUGCCGCGUGUGUGAAGAAGGCCUUCGGGUUGUAAAGCACUUUUGUCCGGAAAGAAAUCCUUGGCCCUAAUACGGUCGGGGGAUGACGGUACCGGAAGAAUAAGCACCGGCUAGCUACGUG
rnacentral:rRNA from 1 species